ACAGCAGCCGCCGCGGUAAUACGAAGGGGGCUAGCGUUGCUCGGAAUGACUGGGCGUAAAGGGCGCGUAGGCGGUUCGUACAGUUGGAUGUGAAAUUCCUGGGCUUAACCUGGGGGCUGCAUUCAAUACGUGCGGGCUUGAGUGUGGAAGAGGGUUGUGGAAUUCCCAGUGUAGAGGUGAAAUUCGUAGAUAUUGGGAAGAACACCGGUGGCGAAGGCGGCAACCUGGUCCAUAACUGACGCUGAGGCGCGAAAGCGUGGGGAGCAAACAGGAUUAGAUACCCCCGUAGUCCCUGUCUCUUAUAC
rnacentral:rRNA from 1 species